GACUGUGAGGGCGAUCUGGCUGCGACAUCUGUCACCCCAUUGAUCACCAGGGUUGAUUCAGCUGAUCUGGCUGGCUAGGCGGGUGUCCCCCUCCUCCCUCACAGAUCCAUGUGCAUCCCUCCUGAAGCUGAGUGCUCAGUCGAAGAGGACGACCUUCCCCCCAAGAGGAAAGGACUAGUUUAUGGUCAAGGGUAUACGAGUAGCUGCGCUCCCCUGCUAGAACCUCCAAACAAGCUCUCUUAAAUAAGUUGAAUUUCUUCUAAGAAUACACAUUUGAUAAGAUUUUAAAAGCAAGUCAUGGCAUU
rnacentral:snRNA from 1 species